UAGAGUAAUGCGUGACCAACCUGCCCCAUGCUCCAGAAUAGCUCUUGGAAACGGGUGGUAAUGCUGGAUGCUCCAACUUGACGCAUGUCUUGUUGGGAAAGUGUUUAGUGGCAUGGGAUGGGGUCGCGUCCUAUCAGCUUGUAGGCGGGGUAAUGGCCCACCUAGGCUUCGACGGGUAGCCGGCCUGAGAGGGCGGACGGCCACAUUGGGACUGAGAUACGGCCCAGACUCCUACGGGAGGCAGCAGAC
rnacentral:rRNA from 1 species